rnacentral:rRNA from 1 species
AAAGGAUUUGACGGCAAACCAGCCUUUUAGAGGAACCUGUCCUGUAAACGAUAUUCCUCGAAAAACUUUACUUUUGUUAGAGAUCAGUUUGUAUACCGCUGUUGACAGUUAGUUUUAUUAGAAAAUUUUCUUAAAUGAGUAUUCAUGUACUUCAAGUAAAGGUGCAGCUAAUGCAGAAGAGAGAGAUGGGUUACAUUUAAAAGAGUAAUAACGGAUAAGGGGGUGAGAGGCCUUUUUGAAGGAGGAUUUAAAAGUAAGAAUUUUUAUAUUUUGACAAGAGCUCUGUUUUGUGUACAUACCGCCCGUC